rnacentral:lncRNA from 1 species
GUCCACGCGCUGCGGCCUUGGAGUAACUGCUGUUCUUAAAGGCUGCCUCCGUCCUGCCGCGCGGCCUUUAGAGGGUUGGAGCUGGCAGAACCGUAACUCCCUCUCUGAGGGUGAAUACGGGCCUUGAUUGCCAGAAGGGCCCUCGGCCGGGGACGCGGGAUGAUGCGGGGCCGGGAGAUGCUUUCCUGGAGGCUGAGAAACCUGGAGGGAGACCCCCAAAACUUCUCAGUUCGCCGACCCCUUGGUCCCAGAGGGAGAGGAGCAUCCCCAAAGAACAUUCAAGUCUGAGCCUCAAGGAGCCUCUGCGACUCGGUGUCUAGAUCCAGGAAAUGGAGAAUGAGCCGUGACUUUGGAUGCUUCACUCUUGUCCAUCAGGCUCGGAAUUGGUGAGCAUCUCCCACAUUACCGUCUCCAACGGAACAAGGUGCCCCAUUGGACAUUUCCUCUGCAUGGACCAGCCAUUCUCCAAAUCUGCCCCCAUGUCACCCCAGCUCCCCAUCGCAGUCACUUCUCACUCCUUGUCCCCUGUCCCCCUGAGUGACAGGACUUUUGCCAGUUAGGUCCUGUCCCUGUUUCUGAUCUUGG